CGGAUACGUUCUUUUCUCGCAUGAGAGAAGAUGGAAAGACGGUUUACGCUGUCACUUAUAGAUGGGCCCGCGGCGCAUUAGCUAGUUGGUGAGGUAAUGGCUCACCAAGGCGACGAUGCGUAGCCGACCUGAGAGGGUGAUCGGCCACACUGGGACUGAGACACGGCCCAGACUCCUACGGGAGGCAGCAGUAGGGAAUCUUCCGCAAUGGACGAAAGUCUGACGGAGCAACGCCGCGUGAACGAAGAAGGCCUUCGGGUCGUAAAGUUCUGUUGUUAGGGAAGAACAAGUACCAGAGUAACUGCUGGUACCUUGACGGUACCUAACCAGAAAGCCACGGCUAACUACGUGCCAGCAGCCGCGGUAAUACGUAGGUGGCAAGCGUUGUCCGGAAUUAUUGGGCGUAAAGCGCGCGCAGGUGGUUC
rnacentral:rRNA from 1 species